AGCAGCCGCGGUAAUUCCAGCUCCAAUAGCGUAUAUUAAAGUUGUUGCAGUUAAAAAGCUCGUAGUUGAAUUUCGGGAUUUAUCCGUCGGUCGGGCUUUUUGGUCUGUACUGGCGUGAUGGAUUCCUACCUUCUGAAUAACCGGCAUGUCAUUAAUUUGGUGCGCCGGGGAAGCAGGACUGUUACCUUGAAAAAAUUAGAGUGCUUAAAGCAGGCUUAUGCCUGAAUACAUUAGCAUGGAAUAAUGAAAUAGGACGGCAUGGUUCUAUUUUGUUGGUUUCUAGGAUUGACGUAAUGAUUAAUAGGGAUAGUUGGGGGCAUUAGUAUUCAAUUGUCAGAGGUGAAAUUCUUGGAUUUAUUGAAGACUAACUACUGCGAAAGCAUUUGCCAAGGAUGUUUUCAUUAAUCAAGAACGAAAGUUAGGGGAUCGAAGACGAUCAGAUACCGUCGUAGUCUUAACCAUAAACUAUGCCGACUAGGGAUCGGAUGAUGUUAAUUUUUUAAUGACUCAUUCGGCGCCUUACG
rnacentral:rRNA from 1 species